rnacentral:lncRNA from 1 species
CAACUCAAACGAGGGGACAGUGUUGUGCUACCACGUGUCUAAUUCAAUUCCUGUCUGGUCGGGUGGCCCCAAGAUGAGGGAGAGAGACAGGCUGUCUGUGGUCUGAGUGUCCUUUGCUUGUUGGCAGGCAGACCUCUGGACCCAGAAACACCUGGCUUGAAUACUGGAGGUAUAGAUUUCUAGAAUCAGCAUGGCGGGGGGGGUUGUCUCCUGGGAAGCUGGGCUUCAGGUCAUGAAUGGGGUGUGUCCGUGCGGUUGUAUUUGGGGGCUGGGGUGGACUAUGCUCAUGGCGGGCUCUGUCCAUCAGAAGGAGCCAGAGUAACUGGAGAGCCCCUCCCCACCAACACCUCUCCCCCCUUGUAGCACUGUGGCUGCGUCGCCAGGCUCAGACACGGGGUGCAAAAUGAUUGGUGGCCCAAUGUGCCUCAACUCAGAGAUGAUCCAGAUUCCACCAUCACGUCUUGGGUUCAUUCUCUGCAUGAGCGGGUAGCCCAAUGGCUAGAGAGUUUGAUAGGCGGCCUGGGGCCUGCGUGCCCUUUGCUUGUUUGAAGUACAACACUGGACCCAGAAAUCCCUGGCUUCGAUAUUGGGUAUGCAGUGGUUUAGCAUCAGGCUGGUGUGAUAAUUUGGCUUUAGGAGAUCUGGGCUUUGGGUCAUGAAUAUAACACAUCAGGCCACGGGUAUUGUGGGAGUGGGUCUCAGCCUCUCCCUGUGCCUUUCUCUCUAGAUAUCGCCACCUCCUCCUUCCUCCUGCUCCACCUGAGCCUCUGCUUCCUCUGCGGAGAACCUUGUGCCCAGGAAUCCACCUAAAUCCAGAUAUCGCCACCUCCUCCUUCCUCCUGCUCCACCUGAGCCUCUGCUUCCUCUGCGGAGAACCUUGUGCCCAGGAAUCCACCUAAAUCCAGGUAAAGUGAAUGAUGCCAGGGAGGUCGUGGAUCUCAAGCGAGGUGCCAGGGCUGAGGGUGCUGAUUGCUGGCAACUGGCCUCUGUUACCUUACCAAGCGGGGUGUCUGAUUCAGGGAGCGGGGUGGUCUCAUGUGGGGUGAGUGUCCUGGCCGACUUUGAGAUAGUCCUAAUGCCACCCAUCUGGCAUUUCAGUGUGCUGCAAGGGAGAGGAGUAAGGAAAUUGGGCUGGCAAGUGGCCCAGGCCAGUGCAGACCAGGCUUCUGCUAUGAGAGGCGGAGGAAGGGCUGAGAGUUGCUAUUAGAGCACAUGCCCACCAGCGGGCACCA